rnacentral:misc_RNA from 1 species
CUUGUUUGGUUCCUUAUAAACUUGCAAUUGAAAAUCUGCUCCAUUAGAGAGGAAUUGCAGAAUAGAGUGAGAAGCGUAGAUCCUGAGAGGUUGAACCAAGAUGAGGGCUAAAUGGAAGAAGAAGCGCAUGAGGAGAUUGAAGAGGAAGCGCCGAAAGAUGAGGCAGAGAUCCAAGUAGGUGCUUGGAAUUGAACAAGAUACCUUCAGCUCAGCUUAUGGUGCUGCGCGAAGUGGGUUGCUGGAAGGAUGCUUGUUAGGGAAAGCUUCAUUUGUUUUUGCCUCCUGUUUUUAGUUUUAGCAACUGUUUUUGGGACUUAUUGAAUUUAACGUUUUGAGUUGUAUUUGACUUAAUAUAUGAAACUGGUUUUAAAGGUUUAUGCAUUACAAUCAGAUGCGUAAUUUAUUGGUCUG